UCGUAACAAGGUCUCCGUUGGUGAACCAGCGGAGGGAUCAUUACUG
rnacentral:rRNA from 1 species